rnacentral:tRNA from 1 species
GAAUAUCAGCUUUGGGUGUUGAUGGUGGAGCAUGUGCUUCUUCCUUGA